CAGUACAGUAAUUUUCUCUUCAAGUUGUCACAGUAACUGGAUAAUGUUACUGAAUGUAAAAACAAAUAAGUAGAUAUCCUCUCUCUAGAUUUUACCGUUGUAAAAACUCUUCAUUUUUCUCUCUCUAAAAAAAAGUCACUGGUAAUCUUGUCGGAAAACUUUUCAAAAGUCUUGCGCAAAACCAAGCUUAAACUUAGUGAAGUGUACGAAAUUCAUUGAAACAACUCUUUCAAUUUCUGUAGCGACGAAGGAGUGUGGUCUGGAGCGGCAAAGGAAUCAUAGUCGAGCGCGUCAACAAUUGGAUUUGAGCGAGCGGUUGAAGGAAUCAACAGUUGCGAUGUCAGGUGGUAGAAGUAGAAAAGGUGGUGGAAGGGGCGGUUGAAGGGGUGGAAGAAGAGGUGGACAUGUGGCGAGUGGUUCAGCUAAUAAGGACUAUGAUGAAUUUGUUGAGUCUUAUGUUGAUGAUGAUUCUGGUGGGAGGGAUUUGCCGAAGGUGGGUAAAAAAUUAAACUUGAUGAUGUCGUGUAUAGGGUGAGUUCUGAAUUACUUUUGAUGGGUAUGUUGUAAUUGGUUUGGCAUUGUGGAGGAGGUGAAUUUUAUUUAAGGUUGUAUGUGUAGGUUAAAAUACACUUAGUGAGAGUGGUAAGAUGAAGCAACUAGGCAAAGUCAUUCACAGAUGCGAGGAGGAGCUGAAAAGGGUAAAAUGCCUUGGUAGUUGUAUUUAAAAAAAAAAUCAGUAAUUUCUUAUGUAUUUUCUAAUCAGCUUGAAAAUGUUAAUUGUCGCGUGGAGAGUUUCGGUAUAGUUAUUAAUGGAUUCUGCAGAAGAAAAAAAAGGAAGAUAGUGAAGGAGAUGGGAUUUGCUGGGUUGUAUGCAUUAGUUGACACGUAGCUUCCGAGGGAGUUGGCUUAUUGGCUUGCGACUGAUAACUUGCUAUUUUAUGCGGUUUUAGGGCGUAUUUGAACCUAGUUUACCUGAACAAAUUUGUGUUUUGGUUCAC